ACGCUAGCUACAGGCUUAACACAUGCAAGUCGAGGGGCAGCAUUUCAGUUUGCUUGCAAACUGGAGAUGGCGACCGGCGCACGGGUGAGUAACACGUAUCCAACCUGCCGAUAACUCGGGGAUAGCCUUUCGAAAGAAAGAUUAAUACCCGAUGGUAUAAUCAGACCGCAUGGUUUGAUUAUUAAAGAAUUUCGGUUAUCGAUGGGGAUGCGUUCCAUUAGGCAGUUGGUGAGGUAACGGCUCACCAAACCUUCGAUGGAUAGGGGUUCUGAGAGGAAGGUCCCCCACAUUGGAACUGAGACACGGUCCAAACUCCUACGGGAGGCAGCAGUGAGGAAUAUUGGUCAAUGGACGAGAGUCUGAACCAGCCAAGUAGCGUGAAGGAUGACUGCCCUAUGGGUUGUAAACUUCUUUUAUACGGGAAUAAAGUGAGCCACGUGUGGCUUUUUGUAUGUACCGUAUGAAUAAGGAUCGGCUAACUCCGUGCCAGCAGCCGCGGUAAUACGGAGGAUCCGAGCGUUAUCCGGAUUUAUUGGGUUUAAAGGGAGCGUAGGCGGGUUGUUAAGUCAGUUGUGAAAGUUUGCGGCUCAACCGUAAAAUUGCAGUUGAUACUGGCGACCUUGAGUGCAACAGAGGUAGGCGGAAUUCGUGGUGUAGCGGUGAAAUGCUUAGAUAUCACGAAGAACUCCGAUUGCGAAGGCAGCUUACUGGAUUGUAACUGACGCUGAUGCUCGAAAGUGUGGGUAUCAAACAGGAUUAGAUACCCUGGUAGUCCACACAGUAAACGAUGAAUACUCGCUGUUGGCGAUAUACAGUCAGCGGCCAAGAGAAAGCAUUAAGUAUUCCACCCUGGGGAGUACGCCGGCAACGGUGAAACUCAAAGGAAUUGACGGGGGCCCGCACAAGCGGAGGAGCAUGUGGUUUAAUUCGAUGAUACGCGAGGAACCUUACCCGGGCUUAAAUUGCAACUGACGGAACCGGAAACGGUUCUUUCUUCGGACAGUUGUGAAGGUGCUGCAUGGUUGUCGUCAGCUCGUGCCGUGAGGUGUCGGCUUAAGUGCCAUAACGAGCGCAACCCUUACGGGUAGUUACCAUCAGGUUAUGCUGGGGACUCUACCCGGACUGCCGUCGUAAGAUGUGAGGAAGGUGGGGAUGACGUCAAAUCAGCACGGCCCUUACGUCCGGGGCUACACACGUGUUACAAUGGGGGGUACAGAAGGCAGCUACACGGCGACGUGGUGCUAAUCCCAAAAGCCUCUCUCAGUUCGGAUUGGAGUCUGCAACCCGACUCCAUGAAGCUGGAUUCGCUAGUAAUCGCGCAUCAGCCACGGCGCGGUGAAUACGUUCCCGGGCCUUGUACACACCGCCCGUCAAGCCAUGAAAGCCGGGGGUACCUGAAGUACGUAACCGCGAGGAGCGUCCUAGGGUAAAACUGGU
rnacentral:rRNA from 1 species